rnacentral:rRNA from 1 species
AGUAACGCGUGGGUAACCUGCCCUGUACACACGGAUAACAUACCGAAAGGUAUGCUAAUACGAGAUAAUAUGCUUUUAUCGCAUGGUAGAAGUAUCAAAGCUCCGGCGGUACAGGAUGGACCCGCGUCUGGUUAGCUAGUUGGUGAGGUAACGGCUCACCAAGGCGACGAUCAGUAGCCGACCUGAGAGGGUGAUCGGCCACAUUGGAACUGAGACACGGUCCAA